rnacentral:rRNA from 1 species
UACAGAGGGUGCAAGCGUUGUUCGGAAUUAUUGGGCGUAAAGGGCGCGUAGGCGGUGCCACAAGUCACCUGUGAAAUCUCCGGGCUUAACUCGGAGCCUGCAGGCGAAACUGUGGUGCUGGAGUGUGGGAGAGGUGCGUGGAAUUCCCGGUGUAGUGGUGAAAUGCGUAGAGAUCGGGAGGAACACCUGUGGCGAAGGCGGCCAGCUGGGCCGGACCUGACGCUGAGACGCGAAGGCGUGGGGAGCGAACGGG